rnacentral:rRNA from 1 species
AACCGGAUUAGAUACCCUGGUAGUCCACGCCCUAAACGAUGUCUACUAGUUGUCGGGUUUUAAUUAACUUGGUAACGCAGCUAACGCGUGAAGUAGACCGCCUGGGGAGUACGGUCGCAAGAUUAAAACUCAAAGGAAUUGACGGGGACCCGCACAAGCGGUGGAUGAUGUGGAUUAAUUCGAUGCAACGCGAAAAACCUUACUUACCCUUGACAUGUACGGAAGACCGAAGAGAUUUGGUUGUGCUCGAAAGAGAACCGUAACACAGGUGCUGCAUGGCUGUCGUCAGCUCGUGUCGUGAGAUGUUGGGUUAAGUCCCGCAACGAGCGCAACCCUUGUCAUUAGUUGCUACAUUUAGUUGAGCACUCUAAUGAGACUGCCGGUGACAAACCGGAGGAAGGUGGGGAUGACGUCAAGUCCUCAUGGCCCUUAUGGGUAGGGCUUCACACGUCAUACAAUGGUACAUACAGAGGGCCGCCAACCCGCGAGGGGGAGCUAAUCCAAGAAAGUGUAUCGUAGUCCGGAUCGCAGU